AUUGACAUAAGUAGCUGGCCAUCAACAUUUACUAACAUAUUCUAUUGAAAAUAACUUUGCUUUGGAUUAAAAAUAUGUAAACUAAGUAAUUAAAUUGUUAUUCAAAUUGUUUUUACUUCACAUAUCGCAUACGUGAAAGGAAAGUUCCAAAUCAGUAAACGGUUUAAUAUACUUACGGUAACACACGUCCAUAAGUCCAUGCGAGUACAAACAUACGCACAUAUACAUAUAUGUGUACAUAUGUGCAUACAUGUACAAAUAUACAUAUAUGUAUACCAUUUAAGUAAUAUUAUGUUUUACAAAUCCUUGUGUCUCUCUUGAUUUUCAUGGUCGUGGGAGUUUCACUUCCGAGCCUUUCGGCUGUUGUCAACCCUAACGUGAAAACACCAUUUACUUAUACACAUGUACUUAAAUACGAAGCAGCACCAAAGUGUACCAAAAUUAAUUAUAAAAUCUUAACAACAUAAUCAAAAUAAAACAAUGACUAAAUUCACCCUAAUAAACCCCAAUAAUUAUUACCAAUCACACAAGUCUUAAUUAAGAAAUUUUUAAAUAUUGUAUUUAAACAGUUGUCAUCCAUUUGUUCAUCUGGCCCAUGGCCUAUCUAAACUCCCAAUGUUGUAUAUUAACAUAUAUCUGCACUAAAAUCAUAUAAUUCCUAACAUUCACAAGUUUUAGGAAACACAAUCGUCAAGGGGUACCCGGGACUAUAUUCUCAUUAAACUAAGAGUGAAUUUUAUUUAUUCCCUAUAUAAAAAUGAGUAAUGUACAUUUACAUGUACAAAUAUGUACAUAUACGAUAACAUACUACAAUAUGUAUGUAUGUUCUGUAGAGUGUUACUGCUGAGUGCAAAUAAUCUGGAGUUACGCUUGCAUAAUCAUUUUUCGGAUUGAAAAUGUGUAUGCACCUACAUAUGUAAUAGGGAAGAUACAUACAUACAUAUGAACAUACAUUUGGAACAUACAUGGGACAUACAUAUAUACAAAAAGUGGAAAUAUAUGUCUUAAACAUUAAUCAGGACAUCAGGUUUGUAAUUUUUUUUCAGAUAUGGCGAGCAUAAUAUUAAUAGCAUGCCUUGCUAUAUUGGGACUAAUCAUUGCAAUAGCUUUGUUUCUCGCGGGUGGGUAUUUGUGGUGGAGACACAAAAGAUCGCAGUUGCAGUUUAUUGAGCCCAACGAAGACGAAGAGUCUAGUAGUUACAGUCUAAGGUGAGUCGUAUCACAAAAAUUGUUUUAUUUUAGUUUUUUUAGAGGUGUUCUACAAAUGCCAACUACAUACAUACAUAUGUACGUACAUAUUUAUUUACAUAUGAAGAAUAUUUAGUUCGCUUUUAUUAGCUAUAUUAUUAGUUUUUAUACUCGGUACUCGAAGAGUAAAUAUAUAAAUAUAUAUAUAUAGGUAUAUAUAAAUAUAUACCCUAUAUUGUAAUUGUGGGAAAAAGUGGAUGCAUGUAACGCACAGAAGGAAACGUUUCCGACCAUAUAAAGUAUAAAUACAUAUGUUCUUGAUCAGCAUCAAUAGCCUAGUCGAUUUAGACAUGUCUGUCUGUCCGUCCAAAACCAAGUUUAGCUCAAAGCGCGUGAGAAGAGAUGUAUGUAUGUAGAAAAUCUUCAAAAUUGUGGUUACCUCAGAUUUUCGAACUUUAGGUGGACGGAAGGGGGCGGGGCGAAAUUUUGAAAUAGACUAGUAACAGUGUGAGCCUUCAGACAUCUGGAUGCAAAACUUGGUUGCCUUAUCUCUUAUGGUAUCUGAGUACUAGGCGCUCAUAAGGACGGACAGACAGACGUGGCCAUAGCGACUCGCCUAUUGAUGCUGAUCAAGAAAAUAUAUACUUUAUACACGUAACAUACAUAUGUUAAUCCACUCUGGACCACAAAUACAAUAAACCCUGUUUACUCUUCGAAUACCGGGUAUAAAAGCAGUAAAGUACAGAUAUACUGACUGAGUACCGGGUAUAAAAGUUUUGACGCGUAAGAAGCGUCUCACUCGUUCCUACUCGUUUUUGUUAUAGUUUGCAAAGUAAAUAUUUGUGAUAGACAAAUUUUAUGAUGUUCAAAACCAAUUAAUAGAACCGUUUACUAACAAUACUUUAUUUGUUAUUGCAUGUACAGAGCGGCUCAGGACAUUGAUUCCGGAAAUCCGCCUAGUAAACCACCAGUGCCGGUUGCACCAGCGAUUACAACUCCUCUUCAAAAUAACAUCAAUCGAAAAUUGAAUGGAUUCUUAAGCCUUAGGACUCCUCUAAUUGGGUAUGUCUCUGUUUGUGUGUUCAUUGUUUCCAUCGAUUUCAAAUACCGAAUAGAUUAAACUACUCGACAAAAUCAAUCUUUUAAAAAAUGUACCUGUUGGAGGAUGGCGCUCCCAACUUUCAGAGUAUUUUUGGCUUCAGACUCUAAAAAGAAGUUCUUCCAAGGAAAAAUAGUAUUAUCAAACCAUUUCUAAGCCCCAUAUCUUUCAUAAAACGUUUUUCUGGAUCGAAGCCUCAAAAUCGUGUGGAGUAGUGUUAUUAGCGCUUAUAUAUGUUCAUAUAUCUAUUAUUGUAUUAUUGUAUGUUUUAUUCCUACUACUAUCUUCCCAAUGUAUUUACAAAUUCAUAUUUUUUAGUGGCUCGGCACCUACGCAAACCAAAGCACAAAAUGCUUCUACCGGGGGAAAUACAAAUGAUGGUACCUCAAAAGAUUCGGCGGUAAGCAGAAGUCAGACCCUCUCUCUUAUCAUAGUAAUUGUAGAACAGAAAUAACAGAUCAAAUGUCAAAGAACACCACAGGUGUCUCAGUUAUUUUAUUUAUUAUAUACACACUUCUCUCCAUCUUAGAAUAAAAGUAUUUCCAUGACAGACAUGUACCUGGACAGCACGGAUUCCAGUGAAAAUGUCGGGCAAAUACAUUUCUCUUUGGAAUAUGAUUUUCAAAAUACAACAUUAAUUUUAAAAGUUCUUCAAGGAAAAGAACUGCCAGCUAAAGAUUUAAGUGGGACUUCGGACCCUUAUGUUCGUGUAACCUUGCUUCCAGACAAGAAACACCGAUUGGAAACAAAAAUAAAACGUAGAACAUUAAAUCCGCGAUGGAACGAAACAUUUUAUUUUGAGGGAUUUCCGAUACAAAAACUUCAGUCACGUGUGAGAAUAAUUAAUAUUAUCUUUCUCUACAUGAUCUUUAAAUACUUAUAAUAAUAAAUCGACAUUAACAUAAAAUUGAUACAGGUAUUACACUUACAUGUUUUUGAUUACGACCGGUUCUCACGGGAUGACUCUAUAGGAGAAGUAUUUCUUCCUUUAUGUCAGGUAAACAUUUUAAAUUCAUCUGAACCAAAACUCUGUAUACUUUGUAUUUUAUUUUGUUUAUAAAGCUCUCACAUACCGUUUACAUUUAUGUUACUACUUACAUGUUUCCACAAAACAGUUUUUAAAAUUUCUAUUUCAAAAUUCAAUUAAAAUAUUUAAACCAAAUUGUAACAGGCUAAGCUUUAAAUCAUAAAUAUUCAUGUAUAUGUAUAUAUGUAUGUACAUACAUGUACUUAAACACUUUGUCUUCUUAGGUUGAUUUUGCCGGUAAGCAGUCAUUUUGGAAGGCAUUAAAACCACCAGCAAAGGAUAAAUGUGGGGAACUUCUGUCAUCGCUUUGCUAUCACCCCUCAAACUCUAUUUUGACGUUGACAUUAAUCAAAGCGAGGAACCUAAAAGCUAAGGAUAUAAACGGAAAAUCAGGAAAGAAUUAUUCUCGCGCAAGAUUGAAAAUAAUAUAAAAUAAACUUUGUCUUUUAAUUAAAUUCCUCUUUUGACGUGUUCGGUAACCAAUGUUUUUUUUCAAUUAACUUUAGAUCCCUAUGUUAAAGUUUGGCUACAGUUUGGAGACAAGCGAGUGGAGAAAAGAAAAACACCUAUAUUUACAUGUACAUUAAAUCCAGUGUUUAAUGAAUCAUUCAGUUUCAACGUUCCAUGGGAAAAAAUAAGAGAAUGCUCUUUGGAUGUUAUGGUGAUGGAUUUUGAUAACAUUGGCCGGAAUGAGUUAAUAGGACGAAUCCUAUUAGCCGGUAAGAGCAAUUGUCAAUUAAUUGACAACACAAAAUAUUAAAAUAUUUUUGUUUUUCCACAAAUAUUGUACAUAUGUAUUUAGGAAAGAAUGGUUCUGGGGCGUCGGAAACUAAACAUUGGCAGGACAUGAUCUCAAAGCCCAGACAAACAGUAGUACAAUGGCAUCGCUUAAAACCUGAAUAAAUUUAAGAUUUAACAAUCAAUUUCAGCAUAUGAUAACAACAGUGUAUGUAUUUAUAUAUAUGUAUGUACCACUAUCAUUCCAUAUGCAAAAACACACACAAUUAGCAGUAUUUAAUACAGUCUGCAGAAAACAUAAGUAUAAUCGCAUUGCGCAUUGGUUGGAUAUUUGAAAUUUAAUACCGAGCGGGAUACUACAGAAAAUUUAUCUAACUUCACUAAUUGCUCUAAGGUUUCAAAGCCUCAAAAACCUCUAUGAGCAAUACUCAGUUUUAUAAUUACUUGUCUAACUUUAUAUAUGUAUGUACACGGGUUAUAGUAUUUGUAUUUGUGCAUGCAUGUACUUAUAAAUACCCUUCUGGGUUCUGAUUAUUGUUUACAGUAUAUCAAGGUUCGUUGAAUUGUCUUUAAAUUAAUAUUCAUUUUCAAUUGCAUGAAAAAGAAGCUCGGUAAAGAUCCAUCGAACUGAAUUCUUUGUUUAAAAGGGGUAAUAAUUUGUCCUAAUAAGCUAAAUUAAUGAUUGAUAGCAAUAAUAAUAACAAUUGUUUCAUCAAUUUGUAAUACAGAAAUAGACCCACAAAAACUAAAUAAAUAUAUUAAAAUGUAUAUAAUACAAUUGAAUUGUUAAAUAUAUUAGAUUAAAAUAAUCUAAUAAACUCGUAAAACGACAUUGUUACAAGUUACAUAAAGCGAAUUGUUGUUUCUUUUACAAUAAAAGAAUAUUAAAGUACGAUAGAGGUCAUAUUAAUUUUAAAUAUAGUUUUAUCACAAAGUAAAACAUAUGAUAGGGCUAUAGAUACUUGAUUAGAGAAGUGGAUGCAUUAAAAGAAUACAAAAGUAAACAUUUUUAAUAGAAACUAUAAAACAAAUUAGCCAACCAUUGCCGGAACAAGCGUCUACUGCGAAAAAAUGAAAAAAAUUACAUUUAAAUUAAGAAUUAAACAAUAAAGAGAUUUAUAAUUGACGCAAUGAAACUGAGUUUGAAAAACGAAAAAUCGAAAAUACAACCCACCUUGAAAUUACAUAUUUGUUAUAUACCUGUUAUAAUAUUAUUAAACUAAUUUAUGAAUAUUACAUAGCUGCAAAUAAAGCAUUUUAAACUUAACUUCUGGGGACUUUGCGAAGGGUUCUUAAUGUUGAAUUGGUGUAUGUCCUUACGUUCCAAUAAACUUUGAGUAGAUAUGUACAUACAUAUGUACGUGCGUGCAUGCAACGUUCAGAAAUAAUUAAAUCAGAUGCCAUUUAGUAUGUAUGUACAUAUGUGCAAAUGUACCUCUUUUACUGAUCAGGAUGACAAGCUAGGUUUAUAUAGCUAUGUGAAGACUAAUGGCGUGAAGCUGUGCACGCUUGUCUGUCAGCUUUUAAGCUACGCAUAGGCUGUAGACAUGUACAAUAUCUACCAUAGAAAUACUCAGUUGAAGACUGUUUAGGUUGCUGAUUAAUUGCCAUUUUCAACUAAGUUAAAAAAAAUUCUAUUCUCAGAAAGUCUCUAACAAAAAUACUUACUGUUCGAUUUCCGGUUUAAAUGCUUGUGAUCAAUGUGAUUUUGUGAUUUUUCUUGAUUCCUGCUAAUUGCAGAUUAUAGUUCUGUUAAGCGAACGCUUUAGUACAUUUUCCGCUACAAGAGAAUCUGUUUUGUGUAAGACUGUUUUUAUUACAAAAUAUCGAUAAUUGAACAGAUGUUUGCACAAAAGUGACAAAAAGUUCUCUGACCGAGACCAGUUCGUUUGCAUGUUCGCUUGUAAAGACAUUGAAAGCAGGCAGAAGUCUCGACUGGUCGAGCUUCAGGC
rnacentral:lncRNA from 1 species